GACGAACGCUGGCGGCGUGCCUAAUACAUGCAAGUAGAACGCUGAAGAGAGGAGCUUGCUCUUCUUGGAUGAGUUGCGAACGGGUGAGUAUCGCGUAGGUAACCUGCCUGGUAGCGGGGGAUAACUAUUGGAAACGAUAGCUAAUACCGCAUAAAAUUGAUUAUUGCAUGAUAAUUAAUUGAAAGAUGCAACUGCAUCACUACCAGAUGGACCUGCGUUGUAUUAGCUAGUUGGUGAGGUAACGGCUCACCAAGGCGACGAUACAUAGCCGACCUGAGAGGGUGGUCGGCCACCCUGGGACUGAGACACGGCCCAUACGCCUACGGGAGGCAGCAGUAGGGAAUCUUCGGCAAUGGGGGGAAACCUGACCGAGCAACGCCGCGUGAGUGAAGAAGGUUUUCGGAUCGUAAAGCUCUGUUGUAAGAGAAGAACGGGUGUGAGAGUGGAAAGUUCACACUGUGACGGUAUCUUACCAGAAAGGGACGGCUAACUACGUG
rnacentral:rRNA from 1 species